rnacentral:tRNA from 1 species
GCCCAGAUAGCUCAGUUGGUAGAGCACAGGUCUGAAAAACCUGGGGUCGCCCGUUCAAUUCGGGCUCUGGGCA